rfam:Ictidomys tridecemlineatus contig018848, whole genome shotgun sequence.
GGUGUUGUGGCUCAAAUGGUAGAGUGCUCGCCUAGCACAUGUGAGGCACUGAGUUCGAUCCUCAGCACCACAU